rnacentral:misc_RNA from 1 species
UUUUUUCCUUUUCCCACCCGAUUGGAGGUCUGUAGUUCAGUUGGUUAGAGCGCACCCGUAAUAAGGGUGAGGUCGGCAGAUCGAAUCUGCCCAGACCCACCACUUACCUGGUGAAGUUGGUCAGAGCGCGUACGACACCCGGAUACGGGGCCAUAGCUCAGGUGGGAGAGCGCCACCAACACGCAGGAGGUCAGCGGUUGGAUCCCGCUUGGCUCCACCACUUACUGCUUCUGUUGAAGCUAGAAAGGUUG